UACGAAGGGGGCUAGCGUUGCUCGGAAUCACUGGGCGUAAAGCGCACGUAGGCGGAUACUUAAGUCAGGGGUGAAAUCCCGGGGCUCAACCCCGGAACUGCCUUUGAUACUGCAAAUCUCGAGUCCGGAAGAGGUGAGUGGAAUUCCUAGUGUAGAGGUGAAAUUCGUAGAUAUUAGGAAGAACACCAGUGGCGAAGGCGGCUCACUGGUCCGGUACUGACGCUGAGGUGCGAAAGCGUGGGGAGCAAACAGG
rnacentral:rRNA from 1 species